rnacentral:rRNA from 1 species
UCGUCAGCGACCGCUGGCUUUUGUACGUUUCGCGAUGUCGUUGCGACCGGCUCCGGCCUUUCGCUCGAUACGCGUUCGUAUUUUUUUAGACCCGGUUCGUCGGCGUGCACUUCUCCUCUAGUAGGACGUCGCGACCCGUUGGGUGUCGGUCUACGGCACGGGUGGUUGCCUGUCGCGUGUCGUGCUUCUUCUGCGGCAUUUGUCGCGCGGCAGACCCCCGUUGCCCGGCCAGCUCUCGGCGGUACUCGUACGGUAUCGAGCCGCAUUUGCAUUCGUGCGUUUGCGUCCCCGACCCGUCGCAGGCUAGGCCAGUGUUCUCGAAUGUACGGAUUUAAUGCCGUCUUCGGUCCUGGUCAACCGUUCGCGACGGUGUUCUCGGACAGGCUCAAUGAAAGAUAUCGGUCGGCGACGCUAUUGCUUCGGGUACUUUCA